UUCCGGCCAGCUCUGCUCUGGCUCUUCUCGCUUACCUGUGAGAAGCAAGCUGCAGCUGUGCAGACACCCACAUGGCAAGGAGUGAGGCCCAGAGAGGACAAGCCGAGAGAACUGAAGCCUCCAGCCCAGCAGCCGGGGAGAAAGUGACUCUUGCCAGCAACCAAACUUGAAAAGAGAAACUACGCCAAAAUCCAAGGAAACAGGAGAAAAAAAUCAGAAGAAGACAGAGUUCUCUGGGCCGAGGGCUCUGUUGGACUUUGCCCUGUGGCUGGAUUCUCAUUUUCCUGCUGUUGCAGAAGACCACCUGCCUGUGCAGAUGCUAGCUAGUCAUGCCUGCUGGAGCCUGCUCACACAGCCUCAGAGAUCCCUUUCCAGGGCCUGCAGAAAAUAUUUAGGAAAUGGAAUCCAGUGAUGAGAGAAGAAAUCUGAAAAAGGAUGAUU